GUGUUGUAUGAAAGGAGAGAAGGUUAUAACUCCCCUUGACCAGUAUAGAAGAGGUCUUAUUGGCCUUACAACACAUAAAUGGUUAAGGCAUUGGCACCUACUUCAUGGCAUCUCUAACCAUGUAUUUUU
ensembl:snRNA U6atac minor spliceosomal RNA